UUAGUGCGAGACCGGCUUAUGAAUGGACCAGCCUGAAUUUUUUUUGCAUAUGCUUAUCUUCUAUAUAAUUGUCUGCAUGCAUUCCUUUUAGUGGCAGUACCCUAAUUUUUGGUUAUGGACAAAGAACAUUGAUGAACCAAGGAGUUUGAAUUUUAUGGUCGGUCCAAACUUUCAAGCCAAUACUAAAUGACAAUGGUGAUAACCUAACCAAGAUGAAAAUUAAUUUGCAUCUGUAAUAUGUCUACAAUUACUAGUUCUCAUUCUAUUGAAACCUAACCCAAGAAGUUUGAAUUUUAUGGCCUUUUCCGCAGGCAUAUUUCUAUAUUUGUUUUUCCUUGAGCGUUUGCUUUUAGGACACUAAUCAAAGGAUUACGAACUUCCUAUUUGAGGGCAUCCUCCAUCCUCAUUGAGAUCGAUGGGAUUUAUAGUGUGGAGUAUUACUAACCCCACUUGGAUGGAAUAAAUGCAUCAUGACAGUUUUCACAUUUAUAUACUCUGUUUUGCUGAUGAGUAACUGUAGUAUGAAUAGUUUCACAUCAUUUUUAGGCCUUAACUAGAGAUUUGAUUUGUAAUGUCUAGAUUUUAUUGGAGUAUCACCAACCCCACUUGGAUGGAAGCAUGACAGUUUUCACAUUUAUGUGCUCUGUUUUGCUGAUGAGUUGCUAUAGUAUGUCUUUUAUUUGGAGCUGUAAAAAGGAGCCAUACGAUAGGUGAGGCCCAGAUAUUUUGUGGCGCCCAUCUGAAAUUUAUACACCCAAAUUUUAUGGUCAAGAGAAAAAAAAGAGUCUGAUUCCAUCAUGUAUGUUAAAUGUUGAUUGUUAAUUUUGUUCAUAUACGAUUGGCUCGCCUAAAUUGUGUCUGACCUGAUUCUUGAACCAAGCAUAAGUUGUAGGUGAGGUUUCGAAAGCCCACAUGUGUGUGGAGCAUUGCCCAACCAAAUACCACCACAUGCACCAAUGUAGAAUAAGGGUGCUACAUAAGACCUAAUUUCCAUCUAGUAGGUCAAUUUUUUUAGAACUUCUAACUUAAAAAUCAAGUGUUUCUUCCUCGGGUGGACCACUUUGUAUGAAACAAAUGGAUGUUCAGAAAGAGCUGUUUUAGCCAUUCAUUUCUUUUGUAUAUUGUGCAUAACUUCAGGGCUGAAAAGCUUGAUUCUUGCAUGUGGCUCGUCUAAUUAAAAGCUGGGAUCUCACACAUGUUGCAUAUUGGCAUGUGCGGCCACAUGUGGAUGGUCAUGAUUCCACAUGCAUGUGGGCUUAACCUCUGUUUUAUGUUUACUUCAUAUGUUUUUAGACUUCUUUGGUCCCAUAUGAUAUAUAGCUGGCAUAAUAGCAUGUAUAAAUGUUUAAUUAUAGUAGCUUAGUUUUUGUUUGUGCAUGGAGAACUCAUUGAGAAGCCAAUGUGUCUCGAUCUGUUUGCAGUCAUUCUAGAAUUUGGAGCUCAUAUUUGAUGACUAUAGUAAUUUCACAUUUUGAGUUUGAAAUUUAAUCAUGUUAGUAAUAAUCUUAUAAAGAGUUAUCUAUUUGUCAUGACUCAAGAAAAUUUAAUUGAGAAUUCUCUCCUUAUAAUCUUUGGCCACCUUUUUUCUUUUUUUUCUUUUUUUUCCAGGCAAUUGAUUUAUUAUUUUUUCUUAACCGUCUUUUGUAAGACAUUGAUUGACAGAUUAGGAAAUUCAAUCUGUAAGAUUUUUGGAGCAUCUUCCAUCUAUGGCAGUGCCUAUCAAAUCAAAGUUUGGAUUUUAGAACUAUUGGCCCCACGGGUAACAAGCAUCAUCAAGACACUUGGACCGAAUGCCCUAGGAACUUAUACUUCCUGUUCUAUCCAUGAAUAGUUUCUAAAGUUAGAGAGUGCAAUGACCUGCACAUGCAAAGUAACCAGACAAAAUGAAGAAUGGCAAUGGUGACCAGAUGGUGAUGAAAUGUUUGGAUGAUAUCUUGUAAUUGCAACAUGAGGGCAUGGAUGUUUUGUUUCAGAUCUUUUGAUAUGUAACCAUGUGCUAAUAUUUGUUAUAUGUCUAUAAUUUAAUUCACACCAACAGUUCAGUUAAGUUUUGAUUUAUUUCAUUGUAGGCAUUGUCUGCCUGUAAUAUGUUUGUUAAAAACUGAAAUUGGAAUCAAUUUCUUUACAGUA